AAAAGUGUCAAACCAAGGAAGAAACCUCAGACCAAAAGUUACUGAAUAAGUUGGAUUAUGUUGAUGAUGAUGCUGAAUUGGCGAAGGCCAUUGUGCUGUCUCUGCAUGAUUCUGCUGGAGUUUCAGGAACAGUGAGCUCAGGGCCUCCCUAAAAAUGAGGCUGGUGUAGAUCUUAAAGGCAGAGUAGAAAAGACUCAGGAAAAUCCUAGAAUGCUGAAGAGGAGAAAAACGUUUACCAGCCGGGUGAAGAUGACUGAGGACGAGCUGAUUAUGCAUUUCUUUCAGUUUGAUGAAGCGGGGAAGGUGGCAUCACUGUGCAUGAUUUAGCCAAAGUUGCUGAUGCUCAUGAUUUUACAUGGACAGACGAGGAACUAGCCAACAUGAUUCACUGCUUUGAUAGCGAUGGAGAUGGAAAGCUAAGUCUUGAUGAUUUCUCGAAGAUUGUCCAUCGAUGCAACAUGAUACAAGGUUCUGAAAGCUCCUAAGUGGUUAAGAAUGACAAGUCUACCUACUGUUCAGACCAGGAGGGAUUGAUCAAGAGUUCAUUUUUCUGCCGGGUUCUGUUUCAACAGCAAGAAAAGAGGCACCUAAGUAAGCGAGAGAUAGAAGCAAGAUAGUAGCUUGAUCCGCUAGCUGUAGUGAAGAUGUAUAUAGUAUAAGUCAGAGCUUUCAUAGAUAACUCACCAAAUGCUGGUUGUAUUACUAUCUUAGACAACAGAAUUAUCUGUGGCUUUUACAAGCUGAUCUAUUUGAGGUUGGGAUUAGUGUGACAGCAGAUUAUAGCUUGCUUAACCUUUUGGGCCAGUUGAAUUAUCUGUUGCAUUGUUUUAUACAAAGAAUGAGUACUCUAAAGAAGGUUUGGUCCUGCUGUUA